rnacentral:rRNA from 1 species
GACGAACGCUGGCGGCGUGCUUAACACAUGCAAGUCGAACGGUAAGGCCCUUCGGGGUACACGAGUGGCGAACGGGUGAGUAACACGUGGGUGAUCUGCCCUGCACUUCGGGAUAAGCCUGGGAAACUGGGUCUAAUACCGGAUAGGACCACUGCCUGCAUGGGUGGUGGUGGAAAGCCUUUGCGGUGUGGGAUGGGCCCGCGGCCUAUCAGGUUGUUGGUGGGGUGAUGGCCUACCGAGGCGACGACGGGUAGCCGGCCUGAGAGGGUGACCGGCCACACUGGGACUGAGAUACGGCCCAGACUCCUACGGGAGGCAGCAGUGGGGAAUAUUGCACAAUGGGCGCAAGCCUGAUGCAGCGACGCCGCGUGAGGGAUGACGGCCUUCGGGUUGUAAACCUCUUUCAGCACCGACGAAGCGCAAGUGACGGUAGGUGCAGAAGAAGGACCGGCCAACUACGUGCCAGCAGCCGCGGUAA